GAGAGGCAGGCGGGCCCUAGCUGCAGCGUCAAGAGCCAGUCUUGGUGCUCUGUGUUCACCUGGUUCAUCUGAGGAGCUGCAUCUACCCUGCCCAUGCCAUAGAUCCUGCCCUGUUUGCUUCUCCUGUUGCUGCUAGUGGACAUGAGGUAACCACAGCCUAGUUCUGUGAUAAGCUCUUCACACCUGUACCCAUAUGGACUGUGGGAGAGUUUCUCUGAUAUGGACUGUGAUGCGGAUCUUGGACAUGAUACCUGGAUGUGCAGCAGCCAUCUGGUAAUUAUGAGGUGACAAGUCAAUAGACUGAGAUGGUGGAGCAGCAAAGAUAGAAAAGAAGGACAGAAUAACGGGCUCCCAGAUUCACAAGCCCCACCAAGAGGAUCACCCCAGGAACGCUUGGAGGCUGAGGAGUUCACUGAGGCUACUGCAUCUUGAGACUCAGGAUGAAGACCCAGCUUGGGGCUGUCAAAGGUUUUUUGCAUGUCUGACACCCAUGACUCCACCUGGACCUUAUGGCUCCACCCAGAAGCAAUUCAGCCCAACAGGAGGACAGCUUCAACCCAUUACGAUUUCAUCUCUGCCCCAACCACUCAGCAGCAAGCACCUGUUACCUGUCCACCCCCACCCCUUCCCCCAAACUGCCUUUGAAAAAUCCCUAACCUAUGAGCUUUGAAUAAGAUGAGUACGAACUUCAUCGCCCACGUGGCGUGGCCGGCCUCGUGUCUAUUAAAUUCUUUUUCUACUACAA
ensembl:lncRNA PVT1 Pvt1 oncogene